UGAGGAAUAUUGGUCAAUGGACGCAAGUCUGAACCAGCCAAGUAGCGUGCAGGAUGACGGCCCUAUGGGUUGUAAACUGCUUUUAUAUGGGGAUAAAGUGGGGAACGUGUUCCCUUUUGCAGGUACCAUAUGCAUAAGGACCGGCUAAUUCCGUGCCAGUAGCCGCGGUAAUACGGAAGGUUCGGGCGUUAUCCGUAUUUAUUGGGUUUAAAGGGAGCGUAGGCCGUUUGGUAAGCGUGUUGUGAAAUGUAGGAGCUCAACUUCUAGAUUGCAGCGCGAACUGUCAGACUUGAGUGCGCACAACGUAGGCGGAAUUCAUGGUGUAGCGGUGAAAUGCUUAGAUAUCAUGAAGAACUCCGAUUGCGAAGGCAGCUUACGGGAGUGUUACUGACGCUUAAGCUCGAAGGUGCGGGUAUCGAACAGG
rnacentral:rRNA from 1 species